AUGCUCUCUCAAGGUUUCAAAAGGUCUAAUUAUGAUAGUUGUGUUUAUUUGAAAACUGUCAAUGGUUCAACUAUUUAUUUGCUCCUUUAUGUUGAUGAUAUGCUUAUUGCUGCAAAGAGUAUGUCAGAGAUUAAUGAACUAAAGAAGCAAUUGAGUAGUGAAUUUGAGAUGAAGGAUUUGGCUGCAGCAAAGAAAAUUCUUGGCAUGGAAAUAUCCAGAGAUAGACCGUUUGGAAAAGUAUAUCUAAGUCAGAAGGGAUAUAUUGAUAAAGUUCUUCGUCGUUUUAAUAUGCAUAAUGCCAAGACGGUGAGUACACCAUUAGCUGCACACUUCAAAUUGUCAUCAGCUUUAUGUCCUAAGUCAGAUUCCGAUAUUGAGUACAUGUCUAGAGUUCCCUAUUCAAGUGCAGUUGGUUCACUUAUGUAUGCCAUGGUUUGUUCUCGUCCUGACUUAUCAUAUGCAUUGAGUGUUGUCAGUAGAUACAUGGCUAAUCCUGGAAAAGAGCAUUGGAAAGCAGUUCAGUGGAUUUUCAGAUACCUGCGUGGUACUUCUAAUGCUUAUUUACAGUUUGGGAAAACUGGAGAUGGACUUGUUGGUUUUGUUGAUUCUGAUUUUGCUGGUGAUUUGGAUAAGAGAAGAUCGCUCACAGGUUAUGUUUUCACCAUUGGUGGUUGUGCUGUGAGUUGGAGAGCAACUUUGCAGUCUAUUGUGGCUUGUUCCACUACUGAUGCCGAGUAUAUGGCUAUUUUUGAGGCAUGCAAAGAAGCUAUCUGGUUGAGAGGUUUAUACACUGAGCUUUGUGGAGAUUCGUCUUGCCCUGCCAUAUUUUCUGAUAGUCAAAGUGCCAUAUAUCUUACAAAGAAUCCAAUGUAUCAUGAGAGGACAAAGCACAUUGAUGUCAGAUUUCAUUAUAUUCGAGAUGUUGUUGCUGAAGGCAAUUUGAAGGUAUGCAAUAUAAGUACUCAUGAUAAUCCUGCUGAUAUGAUGACAAAGCCAGUUCCGACCAAUAAGUUUGAGCUUUGCUCAGGCUUAGUUGGUAUUUCUCACUAG
rnacentral:rRNA from 1 species